UCCCUCCUUUAUCUUUAAAGUGUUUCAAUCGCUAGAUAUCUAUAAAGCUUUUCUUAUAUUUACACUUUAUGCUUUUCAAAACUACUGAAAAAUCAGUAUUUCUUCCCUUUUAUAUAUGUGAAAAAUUUAUCUAUAUCUCUAACCCUAUUGAAUACAAGAUGUCUACAGUACGAUGGCCCUCCAAAUGUUGGUCUCAUAGACCAGAAGAUGACAAAGAUGAAGAAUGGGAUCAAUAUGGGUCUCAAUCGUCACUUUCUACCGAGGAAAAAUGGGUUGGGUCUAUUGGAAGGACCAGGAGUGGGUCUUCUGAGGAAGAAGAUGGUUGUCAUAUUGGAAGGACAAGGGGCCCCAACCAUGGCACAAAUGUCUCUGUAGAUGGCUCAGGAAGAAUUAUCUUAGAAUGGGAUAAAAAUAAGUAAGUCGGCAGUUUUUGUUGAUUAUUUCCUUUCUUUUCUGUAACAUAUAAUAAUUCUAUGAUAUGUACAAAUAGAGUACAAUAAAAACCACAUUGUUAAUGAUUUUUUAGUUUUUGUAAUAAUGUUCG
rnacentral:lncRNA from 1 species